rnacentral:misc_RNA from 1 species
GAGAAGCUUGUUGGAUCUCAUUGAUUUUGAUCAAGGAGGGAUGGCAAGGAAGUUUCUUUCACAAAAAAGACAUGGUGGUGUCGAUACUCCUAGAAAUAGCUUGGAGCUUCCUGUUGAAGCGUCUCAAUGGUUCUAUGCUGGAGGGGACAAAGCACAGUGCGCUUAUCAGAUGAUUGAUUGGCAAGAGAAGAACUGUUACGGGUACGAGGCUCCAAUGAAGAAACUGAUCAGUGAAGAAAUAGCCAGAAGACCAAACACAGGAUAUAAUGCACCUAGUGUGGUAGCACGUCUAAUGGGAGUUGAUACGUUACCAUUAGAUACAAGACCAUUACCAAAGCAUGUAGAGAAAAAGAAUGAAAUGAAGGAUGGGAACCCUUCUAAAGAGGAAUGGUUGAGAAAGGUUUCCAUUGAUCAUGCAACCCAGUCCUCCAGACAGAAAAUCUCAAUUCCCUUUAACCAUGAUGAAUCAUGUGACUCUGACCGACAGAUUGAUAGCCGAAAACCAAACAAAUAUAAACCUCGUGAACAUCCUCAGGAGGAGGAACUACAGAAGUUCAA